rnacentral:misc_RNA from 1 species
UUAACUAUUAUCAAGUACUCAGACAACACUAAAUCAAGAGUUUGAGAUCCUCUGGCAGGCGCUGACCAGCCAAAGCCAGUGGCCCGAAGGCGGGCCUGCCAAAGCAACAUAGGUAUGGUAAACAAAGGGUGGGAGAUCUACCCCGAAGGGCAAGUUCUCUGUAAUGAUCCUUCCGCAGCGGAAGUAUAGCAGCUACUUCUAGCACCUCCCGAUCAUAUCUUAACCCAAUAUCUGGGCCACCUCCAUUUGACCUGUGAGCCCAUUGUGUGGGCUGCUGGUAUGGCAGUAUGCCAAUCCCAGCACGGUGGAGAUGUUGCCUGCCAAGGCAGACUUUCUGUUCUGGCGAACCUGGAAGAGAUGUUCACCUACGGAAA